rnacentral:misc_RNA from 1 species
GUCAGAACUCCUUCUCGCUUAAAAGAUGAGCUGUUUCGCAUUGAAAUUUGGGGGUUAGUUACGCGCGACUCUCUUCUUCUUCCUUUGCUGCUGUCACUUGCUGUGAACUACCUAAAAAUUUAGAGAUGAGGCUGUUGAAAGUAGCAACCUGUAAUCUGAAUCAGUGGGCAAUGGAUUUUGACUAUAAUUUGAACAACAUAAAGGAGUCAAUAUCUAAGGCUAAAGAAGCUGGUGCAGUUAUUAGACUCGGUCCUGAGCUUGAAAUCACCGGUUAUGGCUGUGAAGAUCAUUUCCUAGAACUUGAUACUGUCACUCACGCGUGGGAUUGCUUGAAAGAAAUUCUUGUUGAUGAUUGGACGGAUGGAAUAUUAUGCAGCAUAGGAAUGCCAGUUAUCAAGGGAUCAGAACGUUACAAUUGCCAAGUUUUAUGCAUGAACAGAAAAAUUAUAAUGAUACGCCCAAAGAUGAGGCCUGCAGAUGGCAAUGGUUACAUGGAGCCCCGAUGGUUCAAGCCAUGGCAACAGAAAGAUCAGCUAGUGGAUUUUCAGCUGCCAGAUGAAAUAACAGCGGCUAUAUCACAGAAAUCAGUACCUUUUGGUUAUGGGUACAUUCAAUUUCUAGACACAGCUAUUGCUGCAGAAGUUUGCAAAGAGCUAUUUACCCCUUUGCCUUUUCAUGAUGAUCUCGCACUCAAUGGUGUUGAAGUUUUCAUGAAUGCAAGUGGAAGCAACCACCAAAUCGGAAAAGCGCUUAAUACCCGUCUCCGCGCUUUGAUAGGUUUUACUCGUGGCCAUGGAGGUGUUUACAUGUACAGCAAUCAGCGAGGAUGUGAUGGCGGUCGUUUUUACUACGAUGGAUGCUCUUGUGUUCUUGUAAAUGGAGAAGUGGUGUCCCUAGGCUCACAGUUUUCUUUGAAGGAUGUUGAGGUUGUGCUUGCCCAAGUGGAUUUGGAUGCGGUUGCUGCUAGAAGGGGAUCAACAAGUGUUUUUCAACAAGAAAAUGGAAGAACCAGAAUAUCGUCUGUAGCAGUACCAUACAAACUCUGUCAACCUUUUAACCUUCAAAUGCCCAUUUCUAGCCCUAUUAAGAUCAAUCUUUACUCUUCUGAGGAGGAACUAUCCUUGGGCGCUGCUUGCUGGCUGUGGGACUACUUAAGAAGAAGUGGAGCUUCUGGAUUUUUGCUUCCUCUUUCUGGUGGAGCUGACAGUUCUUCUGUCGCUGCUAUUGUUGGUAGCAUGUGCCAGCUUGUUGUGAAAGAGAUAUCAAAAGGAAAUGAACAAGUCAAAGCUGAUGCAAUGCGAAUUGGAUGUUACACCAAUGGACAAUAUCCUAUAGACAGCAAAGAAUUUGCAAAGCGCAUAUUUUACACUGUAUUCAUGGGGUCCGAAAACAGUUCCAAAAUUAUCAAAGGACGGGCGAAGGUUCUGGCUGAUGAGAUUGGUUCAUGGCAUCUUGAUGUUUCAAUAGAAAUUGUUGUUUCUGCACUGUUAUCAGUCAUUCAAACACUUACAGGCAAGCAAACACUCAAUAAGGUAGAUGGGGGUUCUGAUGUUGAGAUUCAAGGGUUGCGGAACAUUCAAGCGCGAAUAAGAAUGGUACUAGCAUUAACGUUAGCCUCAGUCUUGCCUUGGGUUCACAAGAAGUCAGGAUUUCAUCUUGUUUUGAGUAGCUCUAAUGUGGACAAAGAAUUGAGUGGUCAACUAACAAAGUAUGGUUGUAGCUCAGCUGAUAUAAAUCCAAUUGGGAGCAUCAAUAAGCAGGAUAUUCAUGCAUUUCUGCGAUGGGCUGCCACCAAUCUUGGUUACUCAUCCUUGGCAGAAAUUCAAGCAGCUCUCCCAACUCUUGAUGAUCGGGGAAGGGAAAUGACAUCUGAGGAACUUUCUGUUUAUGGAAAGUGGAGAACAAUUUUCCGGUGUGGUCCAGUAUCAAUGUUUGAGAAUCUCUGCCACAAAUGGGGAUCCACAUUAACACCAUUAGAGGUGGCUAAUAAAGUGAAGAAAUUCUUCAAGUACUAUUCCAUUAACCGGCACAAAAUGACUGUCUUAACACCUUUUUAUCAUGCUCAGAGUUACUCACCAGAUGAUAACAGAUGCGAUAUUCGUCAGUUUCUCUACAAUACGAGAUGGUCCUAUCAAUUCCGUAAGAUUGAUGAAAUUGUUCAGGACUUGCAAGGUGAUAAAGUUGGCAUUACAGAAUCAAGUAACCGGGAAAACAUUGGAGCUUCUUUAGGCUGAUCGCAGGGGUGGCUUGUGGCAGCAGGCUAAUAAGGCAAUCCUAAAACCAGCCUUUAGCACAAAAUUAAAGCUUGCAUUUGAGCUAAUUAUUUGGAAAUUAAUCAUAAUCAGUUACCCACAGUUCCUUUCUUGAUGUACUACAAGAAGUUUGUGGAACAAAUAUGUCACGAGUGCGUUACAUCUUAUUUGGUAAUUUGUUCGAUCUUUUUUAUGAAAUUUUUAUUUUUAUUUUU